CCCAAAUAGCAAAAGCAAAAGGAAGCUUCAGACGUCAUUGUAAGCUUCCUAAUAGUCUUCCAAAACAAUUUCCUAAUCAUCUCCUCAAAUCCCGUGACUAUUCCUUUCCUUCAACAUCUCUCCUUUUUCACCUUCCUGUGUAUAUAAUCUCUAAUGACCAAUUGGGCACUACGCCGUGGGGAGGAGCAGUGGAGCACAUCAUGCAUGGAUGCCCAUGCUGCUCACCAACCGCCGUGGUCGCCGCUGCACGGAAUACCACCAUGAGCACGGCCUCCUCAGCUGCUCCGACUCUCCGUAGUACUGCUCCUCCAGCUACCGGCCCUUCCCCUUCUAUUUUGAAUUUUCUAGAACAAUGGGUAAGCAGCUACCAACUAUGAAUGGAAUAAGUCUAAAAAGAAGCUUGGGUAUGCUGAUAUGUGCCUUCAGGUUAUAAGAUAAGGGAGCAAGUGAAACAACCCAGAAGCUUAUGAUAUUGUUACUGUGGAGAUACCCGGAAGCUUGCAUAUCCAGAAUCGAUCUUCACUUCAGCUACAAGUGAGAGGUAUUGCUGCCGAGCGUGACACCGCGCCGAUCUAUUUGAGCCCAACUGCAUCAAUUUUAGACGGAAGAUAAUGAUGCAAGGAGACCACCUGAGCACCUCCACUCCCUCAACACUGUCCCCCUACUGCCUGAGUUUACUGAAUAUUUUUUCUUGCUUCAACUAUAUCAAGGGAGCAAGUGCAACAACCCAGAAGCUUAUGAUAUUGCUACUGUGGAGAUACCCGGAAGCUUGCAUUGAUCCAGAAUCGAUCUUCACUUCAGCUACAAGUGAGGUAUAUUGAGCCUAUUGACGCAUAGUUACAUAAAGAUAGAAGAAUUGGUUGCACUUUGUCAUUAUUACUUGUUUCUACAAGUAGCUCUCUACACCUGGUUCAUGUAAUGAGUAGCCUGUCUAUCGUUUGUUGGACAUGAUUAUUUACUUUGUUUACUUUGAGAUCUACAUCUUACAGAAAUGUAGGGAAAGGCUGCGUACAAUAGACCCAAAGUGGUCGGACCCUUCCCCAGACCCUGCGCAAGCGGGAGCUACAUGCACUGGGGCUGCCCUUUUACUUUGAGAUCUACAUCUUAAAGAAAAAUCUCUGUCCACCAAUAACAUUGAUUUUGCUAAUUUCUUCCAUUUUCAUUGAUUUUGCUAAUUUCUGUAUGCCAUGUUAAUGAAUACAGAAAUCAUGAUCAUCUGAAACUACCUUUAACUAUGGUGAUGAGCAAAUUCAUCCCCUUCAAUGCAAAAUACAAAAUCCAUGUGAGCCAUCAUUGCUACCUGCCUCCUGAACGAUUGGUCAUCUCCUUUGCUUCUCUAUCAGUUGGUUUACGGUGCUGUUGAGGAGCUUUCAUGAUUUUGUGGUAUUCGUCAGAAGUAGAUCAGAUGCAUUUCACUACGUGGCUAUGUGCACAUAAAUCAGUCAAGGAGCAGGCUUCAGUGAAGUGUGAUCCAGUACAUUUGUGAACAUUGUGCAGUUCUUGCUGAAUUCUGGACUUGACUGAACGGGUUCCCCCUAUUCCAAAUUUCUUUUUAAGUAUUUGGCAGUUAUCUUCAGCGUCCAAAUGGAAGUACUCCCUCCGUCCCAUAAUAUAAUAUCUUAUUGCACUCAUUUUGCUCAAAAAUUGGAUGUAAUACGAUCUUAUAUUAUGGGACGGAGGGAGUACAAUUGAUUCAUAUUAUGUGUAUCUUUGUACUCACCAUUGCUGGAUGAAAAUUUGGACAUACAUAGAUAGCUCUAGAUGUAGCCUAAAUGCUUUUUUACUCCUCAUAUAAUCACUGUUGUGAAUCCUUGUGCCUUUGCAACACCUCAUGUCCUAUAGGAAUGAUGUUCUAACCUAUCUGUGUAAAUUUAAAUUUUAAAUAUUGCAAAUAAAUUAGAAGAUAGACAUGCUUCCAUCCAUGCAGCAAGGCCAACAACAUGCAAGAGCACUGCCUUUUUAUUUAGCAUGCCAGUAAUAUUAUAGCUCUGGGGAUAAUAUUCUUGCACACUUUAGAUGCCAUUUGAUAGAUUGGGAGGACAGGUAAAUUUACAUAUGACAGCAGAGUUCUCUUCACCAAGUAUAUGUCAAUACAUGUCUCAAUGGCAUGGCUUUGGGAUCGAGAUCUACCUUGCUAACGUUACAGAUCAAUUGUCAAUAGCUUGUUGAAAAUCUCCCCUUGUUUGUAAUGUAAGGAUCUUAUGUAAUCUUAAGGUUUGCAGCUAAUAGAGAAACCCAAUCCAAGUAAAAGUUUUCAACCCAAUCCAAGUAAAAGUUUUCAGUAUUGCUUAAUUGUGUGAGUGAUUAACACUUUUUGGUUGUGCUGAAUUUCACUCCUACAUAGUUUUAUUGACAAUUUUUAUAUUCCUUUCAUUCAAAUGAGGCACAAGAUAG